rnacentral:rRNA from 1 species
UAGGGAAUCUUCGGCAAUGGGGGCAACCCUGACCGAGCAACGCCGCGUGAGUGAAGAAGGUUUUCGGAUCGUAAAGCUCUGUUGUAAGAGAAGAACGUGCGUGAGAGUGGAAAGUUCACACAGUGACGGUAACUUACCAGAAAGGGACGGCUAACUACGUGCCAG